CCCCGCCGAUGUUCGCGAUCCCCAAGGCAUCGUCGUCAAGCCAUGCGGCCGAGAAUGCCGGCGCGGGGAGCAUCACUUUGACGGAAAGCGAUAUCGCGGCGCUCGACAAGGCNNUCCCCUGGGUCGUGAACCGCGCAGCCUGCCGAUGCUCUAAUGCUCUAGAUCACUGCCGCGACGCCCUGCCAGAGCAGCAGGAGCGAGAUGAUGAACAGCAGCGUGCUCNUAGAACAGGCCGGUCGGCGUCUUGCGGACCAGCCAGAUGCCCGCGAAAUUCGCGAGAACCGCAAUCGGCAGCAGCAACAGCGACGUCGCGAAAUUCUU
rnacentral:misc_RNA from 1 species